GUCUCAGCCAUGGUUGCAUACCUUCCAAGCUCCACCGCCUCUUCUUCCUCGUGGGCAGAUCCCUGAUUUUGUGUAGGACAGCACUUGAAAUGUAUUUGUGUGCUCAACAUUGGUUUCCUCUCUGGAACCUGGGAUCACUUCAGGGGUGGACACGUGGCCCAACCAUGACUGAUGAGACAUGCGGGGAAAUCUGCAGAGGCAACUUCUAGGAAAGGUUGGGCUCUUGCAGCCACCCUGUGACUAUGAGGACUAUGAAGGGCUGAAGAUUUACUCUACUUGAGAACGAACCAGGUUUUUGUAAGCUCCAGACAUUGGAUAAAGCAUUUUGAGGGAUAGGUGAAAACGAAAUCCUGCCCUUUACUCUUGAGAACUCACUCUGCUGUGGGAGGAGAGACAGGCAGGUGUUAGAAAUGCUUAGAGCCAGAAAGACACACAAGAAACAACUGUGAAAGUUGAUCAUACAAAUCGGGUCAUUCUUAUCAUAUCCAAAUAAAACCGCCAAGAAGCCAAGAGGGAAAGGUGCUCAGGAUGCAUAACAUUGCUCCAAGAAUAUAAUUUUCUGCAAGCCUGGCUGCUGUAACCUGAAACCAGUUUUAUCUAAUAGCUGCUAAAAUGACCUGCUGCAACUCUAAGACCAAUUAUACCCAUUCCAUUACUUACCAAUCAAAAGUUGCCACCUCACCGGAACUGUACUAGUGCCAAUGAACUUUCUCAAAGAGCAAUACAUAACACUUCUCUUUGUUAUAAAACCUCCAACCAUCUCUUUGUUCUUUAGACACACCGAAAACCACCCAAUAUGUGGUCUUGCAAUUCUUUCUUCCCAAAUAAAAUGUUAAAUUUAGAGGUUCAUCUUUACCUUUUAAUUCUUUGACACAACCGAAUAGGACAAAGCAAUGCAUUUAACUUGUUCAACUGUUGAUGAAAUCAUUGCAAAGGCAGCUCUAAUUUUUUUUCAGACCUCAGUCUACUGACAGCAUGAACAGAAAGAGAGGGUCUCUUUCUGCUGGUGCUUCGGUUUGAGAACCAGUGCUCCUGACUUUGGUUGGCCAUUGGUGUCUGUCUGAAGAGGGUCUCCACUGCCCCCAGGCAUGUUCCUUCUCUCACUGCUGCCCCCUGGGAUGGAAACUCGACAUCCCCUCUUUCCCUUCCUACUGGCACCAACGGUACCAGAGCAAACCCCACAAUCUCCAUGCCUACAUUUCUUUGACAUCCACCUGUCACCAUCUUUGGAGGAUUCAAGUGAAGUUCUUUGUCUUUUAUGGGACAGAGAUGAUUCUCCACUCCAGAGGGUCUGGAGUGAUUAUAGGAAUGUAAUCGCCUUGAACAAUCAGCGUGUUUUACAGCCUACUGCCCUGCAUUUUGUGUGGAAUGCAGUUGUCUUAUUGCUUGGAACCAGCUCUCAGUAGACCUCAGCAGCUUAUAGACAAACCCGAGUGAACUUUCCUCAUGACCAUGCUAGUGUCUCCAUCCUGGGAUGAGCCACAGCUUCAUCACCAUAACAUGCAACCUAUGUGCUGGUGUGAUGACUCGCUGUGUCUGCACCACUGAGGCUCCUCCUCCACAUGCCAUGACGCGUCCUCUCUUCUCUCCAUCUCCCCAUGAAGUCCUCCUGUCACUUUCCCUCAGGGAGACAUGGCUUUGGAGAGUACUCCCAACAGCAUGCUUAUUUGUGCCAAGUAAUAAAACUCCUGUUGAUCAAACCUACAGUCUCAAGGAGAUUGAUUUCUUACUUGCCAAGCAAAAGAAC
rnacentral:lncRNA from 1 species